GAUGAACGCUAGCGGCAGGCUUAAUACAUGCAAGUUGAGGGGCAGCAUGAUUGUAGCAAUACAAUUGAUGGCGACCGGCAAACAGGUGCGGAACACGUACACAACCUUCCAACAAGUGGGGGAUAGCCCAGAGAAAUUUGGAUUAAUACCCCGUAACAUAGCGAUGUGGCAUCACAUUGCUAUUAUAGAUUUUUCGCUUGUUGAUGGGUGUGCGGCUGAUUAGAUAGUUGGCGGGGUAACGGCCCACCAAGUCUACGAUCAGUAGCUGAUGUGAGAGCAUGAUCAGCCACACGGGCACUGAGACACGGGCCCGACUCCUACGGGAGGCAGCAGUAAGGAAUAUUGGACAAUGGGCGCAAGCCUGAUCCAGCCAUGCCGCGUGUGUGAAGAAGGCCUUCGGGUUGUAAAGCACUUUCAGUAGGGAGGAAGGGUGUUGUGUUAAUGGCACAGCAUUUUGACGUUACCUACAGAAGAAGCACCGGCUAACUCUGUGCCAGCAGCCGCAGUAACAC
rnacentral:rRNA from 1 species